rnacentral:lncRNA from 1 species
UCUGAAAGAAGAGUCCUUUACUCUGGGAAACAUUCUUUUGCCUUCCAUGGCAAUCUCUGUUUGGAGUCUUUAUUCUUGCCUUUCCCCUCCUCAACUUUGUCUUUCUCCACCCCUGCCUUCUCUCUCUCCCUCCCUCUCUUCUUAGCAUAUCCUUUCAUGAUUAGAUUAAUUUGUUUACCCAGACAAGGGGAAGAAUGAGAGUUUGCAUAUUGGUAAGAACAGGCUUCCUUUCCCAGUGCUGGAAACAUUGAACUCUCCUCUCUGCCUUCAUGGAGGCUUCAAGCAAAAAAAAAAAGAAAUGACACCUCAUCCUAAAACAAAAGAUGUUCUGAGAUCUUUUAAAAUCCUGCUGAAGUAAAGAGAGGGCAGAGAGUGUGUGUGUGUGUGUGUGUGUGUGUGUGUGUGGGUAGACCCACAGCCUUGAAGGAUUGUCAAGGCCAGUCUCUGAAGUGGAGACAGACAGUAAGGCUCUGAUGAGCUCUGAUGAGGACUGAUGCCAAGGUGGGUGAGAGGAAGCACACAGGAGCCCUGCUGCAGACAAGAGCUGCGCACGUGACCAUGAGUGGGAAACCACAACAUCUGGACAGUGGUGAUCUCAUCCACGUAUCAGCCUCAAGAGUCUCCAUCUGUCCUCUCCCUGGACCCUGCCCCUGA